rnacentral:tRNA from 1 species
UCCCAGGUGGCUAAGUGGUAAAGAAUCUGCCUCCAAUGCAGGAGAUUCGGGUUUGAACCCUGGGUCGGGAA